GAUGAACGCUGGCGGCGUGCCUAAUACAUGCAAGUCGAGCGAACAGACGAGGAGCUUGCUCCUCUGACGUUAGCGUCGGACGGGUGAGUAACACGUUGAUAACCUACCUAUAAGACUGGGAUAACUUCGGGAAACCGGAGCUAAUACCGGAUAAUAUAUUGAACCGCAUGGUUCAAUAGUGAAAGACGGUUUUGCUGUCACUUAUAGAUGGAUCCGCGCCGCAUUAGCUAGUUGGUAAGGUAACGGCUUACCAAGGCAACGAUGCGUAGCCGACCUGAGAGGGUGAUCGGCCACACUGGAACUGGGACACGGUCCAGACUCCUACGGGAGGCAGCAGUAGGGAAUCUUCCGCAAUGGGCGAAAGCCUGACGGAGCAACGCCGCGUGAGUGAUGAAGGUCUUCGGAUCGUAAAACUCUGUUAUUAGGGAAGAACAAAUGUGUAAGUAACUAUGCACGUCUUGACGGUACCUAAUCAGAAAGCCACGGCUAACUACGUG
rnacentral:rRNA from 1 species